AAUGGGCGCAAGCCUGAUGCAGCCAUGCCGCGUGUAUGAAGAAGGCCUUCGGGUUGUAAAGUACUUUCAGCGAGGAGGAAGGCGUUGUGGUUAAUAACCGCAGCGAUUGACGUUACUCGCAGAAGAAGCACCGGCUAACUCCGUGCCAGCAGCCGCGGUAAUACGGAGGGUGCAAGCGUUAAUCGGAAUUACUGGGCGUAAAGCGCACGCAGGCGGUCUGUCAAGUCGGAUGUGAAAUCCCCGGGCUCAACCUGGGGACUGCAUCUGAUACUGGCAAGCUUGAGUCUCGUAGAGGGGGGUAGAAUUCCAGGUGUAGCGGUGAAAUGCGUAGAGAUCUGGAGGAAUACCGGUGGCGAAGGCGGCCCCCUGGACGAAGACUGACGCUCAGGUGCGAAAGCGUGGGGAGCAAA
rnacentral:rRNA from 1 species